rnacentral:rRNA from 1 species
UAACCAUGGUAAUUCUAUGGCUAAUACAUGCGCACUCGCCUCCUUCUCUGGAGGGGCUGUGUUUAUUAGAUACAAAACCAACCCACUUUGUGGAGUCCUGGUGAUUCAUAGUAACCGAACGGAUCGCAGUUGGCUUCGGCCCGCGAUGGAUCUUUCAAGUUUCUGACCUAUCAGCUUUCGACGGUAGGGUAUUGGCCUACCGUGGCAGUGACGGGUAACGGGGAAUUAGGGUUCGAUUCCGGAGAGGGAGCCUGAGAAACGGCUACCACAUCUAAGGAAGGCAGCAGGCGCGCAAAUUACCCAAUGAAAACAGUUUCGAGGUAGUGACGAGAAAUAACAAUACAGGGCAUUUUAUGCUCUGUAAUUGGAAUGAUGGGAAUGUAAAACCCUUCCAGAGUAACAAUUGGAGGGCAAGUCUGGUGCCAGCAGCCGCGGUAAUUCCAGCUCCAAUAGUGUAUAUUAGAGUUGUUGCAGUUAAAAAGCUCGUAGUUGGAUUUCUGUCGUGGUCAUCCGGCUCCGCCCGUAUGGGUGUGCGCCUGGUUUGCCCUCGGCUUUCUUCCGGUAGCCUUCCGCGCUUCACUGCGUGUGUUGGUGUUCCGGAACUUUUACUUUGAGAAAAAUAGAGUGUUUCAAGCAGGCUUGUCGCCCUGAAUACUUCAGCAUGGAAUAAUAAGAUAGGACCUUGGUUCUAUUUUGUUGGUUUCUAGGACCAAGGUAAUGGUUAAUAGGGACAGUUGGGGGCAUUCGUAUUUAACUGUCAGAGGUGAAAUUCUUAGAUUUGUUAAAGACGAACUACUGCGAAAGCAUUUGCCAAGGAUGUUUUCAUUAAUCAAGAACGACAGUAGGGGGUUUGAAGACGAUUAGAUACCGUCGUAAUCUCUACCAUAAACUAUGCCGACUAGAGAUAGGGAAACGCCUACCUUG